rnacentral:rRNA from 1 species
GACGAACGCUGGCGGCGUGCCUAAUACAUGCAAGUCGAGCGAGCUUGCCUAGAUGAAUUUGGUGCUUGCACCAAAUGAAACUAGAUACAAGCGAGCGGCGGACGGGUGAGUAACACGUGGGUAACCUGCCCAAGAGACUAGGAUAACACCUGGAAACAGAUGCUAAUACCGGAUAACAACACUAGACGCAUGUCUAGAGUUUAAAAGAUGGUUCUGCUAUCACUCUUGGAUGGACCUGCGGUGCAUUAGCUAGUUGGUAAGGUAACGGCUUACCAAGGCAAUGAUGCAUAGCCGAGUUGAGAGACUGAUCGGCCACAUUGGGACUGAGACACGGCCCAAACUCCUACGGGAGGCAGCAGUAGGGAAUCUUCCACAAUGGACGCAAGUCUGAUGGAGCAACGCCGCGUGAGUGAAGAAGGGUUUCGGCUCGUAAAGCUCUGUUGGUAGUGAAGAAAGAUAGAGGUAGUAACUGGCCUUUAUUUGACGGUAAUUACUUAGAAAGUCACGGCUAACUGCGUGCCAGCAGCCGCGGUAAUACGUAGGUGGCAAGCGUUGUCCGGAUUUAUUGGGCGUAAAGCGAGUGCAGGCGGUUCAAUAAGUCUGAUGUGAAAGCCUUCGGCUCAACCGGAGAAUUGCAUCAGAAACUGUUGAACUUGAGUGCAGAAGAGGAGAGUGGAACUCCAUGUGUAGCGGUGGAAUGCGUAGAUAUAUGGAAGAACACCAGUGGCGAAGGCGGCUCUCUGGUCUGCAACUGACGCUGAGGCUCGAAAGCAUGGGUAGCGAACAGG